ensembl:lncRNA
CCCUAGUAUGAGCACAAGGUGUGGUUCUGAGACCUUACAUCUGCUGUGCCACUGAACCACACUCUCAGUUCCAUGAAGAACAUUCACGUGUCAUGGACAACUUUAACUAAUCCAAAUGUUUGCUGCUGAGAUUUUUUUCUUUUGGCCACUGAAAUGUGUGGUUUUUCUGUAGGUUGGUCAGACAAGGAUCUUGAAGAUAUCUUGGGAGACGGGGAAUACAAACCUGACAAGAAUAAAGUGGAUGGACUGCCAGACCGAAGGCUUCAUGAAAGAACUGUGCUGCUGUGAACGUCUGUAUAUGGCCGUAUAGAAGAUUUCACACAGGCAUAGUUUUUAACUGUCUUGAGUACUUGUGGGCAUUGGCAUCCGCUCAGCAUCUGCUAGGGCCUCUGUGCUGGGUUCAGACAUGGCUCCGUUUCACUUGUGGGUGCCCCUUUAAUACCCGAACAAUAUAUUAUAUAUUGUUUCUUUACUAAUCUCACUGCACUUGCCCAAAAUUCUCCUCCUGAGACUUAACCAGAGAACAGAGUCUCUGCUGGGCUUUUCUGAGACGUCCUUUGUCGGUGCAAUGAAUCUGAGUCUUCACCUUAGCCUCAGGCAGACUCUUCAGACAGGGGCAAAAAGCAGCCACAUUCUUCACCAAAACACCACAAAAACAAUCUCCAGGCCACACACUGAAAUUAUUCUCCCUGAAGCCUCCUGGGCCAGGUCUAUGCAGUUAAAAUCACUCACAGCCACAAAGUCUUCCUGCCAGGGUGGCUCAUUGGGCCCCACUCAAACCAUUUCGUGGCUUUCCAAAUCCAAAGUCCCAAAAUUCACGUUCUUCCAAAUAAAAGUAUGGUGAGGCCUAUCAGUAAUACCCAGGCCUUGGUAUCAACUUCUGACUUACUUAGGGUUUUACUGCUGCGGACAGACAGCGUGAAUGAGGCAGCUCUCACAGGGACAACAUGUGACUGGGGCUGGCUUACAGGGUCAGAAGUUCAUUCCGUCAUCAUCAUGGCAGGAGCAGGGCAGCGUCCUGGCAGGAUGGUGCAGGAGGGGGUGAGAGUUCUCCAUCCUCAUCUGAAGGCUGCUAGCAGAUCACUGAGAGAAUUACAACCCACACCCCCAAGGCCACGCCCACUCCAGCAGGGCCAAACCCUCUCCAGCAGGGCCAAACCCACUCCAGCCAGGGUCACACCCACUCCAGCAGGGCCAAACCCACUCCAGCCAGGGUCACACCCACUCCAGCAAGGUCACAACCACACCCACUUAUUUCUGGCUCUUAUUUCCUUUAAGUACGAUAUCUGGGACCUUUUGGUGGGACACCAUCUAGCUCCUUCCCUCUAUAUCUAUUGUCUGUCCUUGGUGCUCCAAGCUGUCCAUGUAUGUCAGUUUAUGGCUGGGUUUUGCUUCUAGUUGCUUGAAUGUUUUGUGUUUCAUGUUUAAAAGAAAA